AACGAACGCUGGCGGCAGGCUUAACACAUGCAAGUCGAACGCAUCCUUCGGGGUGAGUGGCAGACGGGUGAGUAACGCGUGGGAACGUGCCCUUCAGUUCGGGAUAACCCAGGGAAACUUGGGAUAAUACCGGAUACGUGCGAGAGCAGAAAGAUUUAUCGCUGAAGGAUCGGCCCGCGUCUGAUUCGCUAGUUGGUGGAGUAAUGGCCCACCAAGGCGACGAUCAGUAGCGGGGCUGAGAGGAUGAUCAGCCACAUUGGGACUGAGACACGGCCCAAACUCCCACGGGAGGCAGCAGUGGGGAAUAUUGGACAAUGGGCGCAAGCCUGAUCCAGCCAUGCCGCGUGAGUGAUGAAGGCCUUAGGGUUGUAAAGCUCUUUCGUCCGGGACGAUAAUGACGGUACCGGAAGAAGAAGCCCCGGCUAACUUCGUGCCAGCAGCCGCCGUAACAC
rnacentral:rRNA from 1 species